UAGCAUGACCUAUAUAUAGCGAAGCCGUUCGUAUCAGUUAUGAGACGCUAGCGUUUUUGAUGGUGUGCGUAAAGAGGGGGAGAUGAAGAAAUAGAGGGAGACUAAGAGUUCCAUGGAUUUGAUUGGAGAAGUUUAGACAGUAGCGUCUGUGUAUUGGAGGGUAGGCGCAGGAUUGGAAAAACCAUAGGUCUCAGUCGAAGACGAAGAGCUGACGACUUGCAGGCUUUUUAGGGCCAGUUUUAUGGUUUAUUAAGAUAUGCUUAGGCUUUAAUCAAAUGUAUAAGCUGAUGUAAUAGAUGGGCUAGCGAGUUUAAAAAAUAAGCCCACAAAUCAAUCAGCAAAUAAUAGAGAACGUGAAUUGUAAAUCAUUUUAUUUAUUUGUGGGACAUUAUUAAACCGACCUUCAUAAAUAUAUAUUAGUUUCGGUCAUUAAUGUACAAAGUAUCCUUUAGUUUAUUGAUAUAAAUGUUGGUGUUUAUACGUCAAU
rnacentral:lncRNA from 1 species